rnacentral:misc_RNA from 1 species
AAAGUCGUAACAAGGUUUCCGUAGGUGAACCUGCGGAAGGAUCAUUAGCAAGUAGAGAGGACGCCUCGACCGGCGUCCCGACGAAAGGAAGCGGAAGCGGCCGAGCGUGCCGGACGAACCGGCCCACGCGGCCCGCUCCGCUCGUCCACAAUCCCUUUCCGUGUACCAUCCCCUGUUGCUUUCCCGGACUCAAGGGUCGUUUGAGAGUCCCGUCCGGGAACAGACCGAAGCCAUUUGCAAAGCAGUCGUCUGACGGGAUGGCUCGCAAGCCAUCGUGAACCCGAAUAGUUAAAACUUUCAACAACGGAUCUCUUGGUUCUC